GUUCCGUAGGUGAACCUGCGGAAGGAUCAUUACCGUGAAGCGGCCCGGGACCCCCGGGCCCGCUGAACCCUCUGUGUACCCUCUGGUUGCUUCGGCGGGCCGUCCGGUCCGGCCGCCGGCCCUCGGGUCGGCGCGCGCUCGUCGGAAGACCGUCAACCUCUGCCUUGGAGUGUCGUCCGAGCGAGAAGCGAAUCGAAAAAAACUUUCAACAACGGAUCUCUUGGUUCCG
rnacentral:misc_RNA from 1 species